rnacentral:rRNA from 1 species
UACGUAGGAGGCGAGCGUUGUCCGGAUUUACUGGGCGUAAAGGGCGUGUAGGCGGCUGGGCAAGUCUUCUGUGAAAUCUUUCGGCUCAACCGGGAGAGGUCAGGAGAAACUGCUCAGCUUGAGGGCAGCAGAGGAAGGUGGAAUUCCCGGUGUAACGGUGACAUGUGUAGAUAUCGGGAGGAACACCAGUGGCGAAGGCGGCCUUCUGGGCUGUACCUGACGCUGAGGCGCGAAAGCGUGGGGAG